rnacentral:rRNA from 1 species
AUGAACGCUGGCGGUGUGUCUAAUACAUGCAAGUCGAGCGGCCCGCAAGGGCAGCGGCGAACGGGUGAAUAAUAUGUUGGAACCUACCCCAAAACAGGAAAUACCCUUUAGAAAUAAAGGAUAAUGUCCUAUAAUCCCGCAAGGGUAAAGUCGCAAGACGUUUUGGGAGGGGCCUGCAUCCUAUCAGCUAGUUGGUGAGGUAAUAGCUUACCAAGGCAAUGACGGGUAGCUGGUCUGAGAGGACGGUCAGCCACAAGGAGACUGAGACACGGCUCCUACUCCUACGGGAGGCAGCAGUAAGGAAUAUUUCACAAUGGGCGAAAGCCUGAUGAAGCGACACCGCGUGAACGAUGAAGUUCGUAAGGAUGUAAAGUUCUUUUUUGGGGGAAGAAUUCUGACAGUACCCCAAGAAUCAGCGACGGCUAACUACGU